AGGCCAGAGCCACAGAGAGCGUGAGAGCUACUGACACAGAACUACGGCUACAGAGAGCCAAAGCUCCAGUAAGCUAGUUCGCUCCUGCUCCUACAUUUUGAUCACGGCCCCGUGCUGCCGUAUGAGUUAUUUUAUUUUGUUUACUUUAUUUGUCUUUAAAAGUUAUUUUGGUCUAUAAAGACAUUAUUACCAUAUAUAAAUAAUAUUGAGUAAGAAUUGGCAUUUUUGGUAAAUACUUCAUUUAUCUUCUUGGACAUUAAAAAAUACGAAGAAAAUAUUCUUGAAGAAGAAAACAUUUCUACUGACGAGAAAGAUAACAUUUUGGAAAGUUUACUUGACUUUUAUUUCAACGGAACAGACAUUAUUUCUAUAUCAUUAGUCCGCAAAUUAUUAGAAAUGAAAUGAUAUGAAAAUAACUGACUAACAAUUAAAUGACUUCUUGUUUAGUAGAGGAGCUAACGAAAAUGGCUGCAUAGACUUCAAAAGUAAUUAUUAGAUUACGGUUUUAUGAAUAGAAUGAAACUCAUUUUUGUAAAUUACGAGUACUAAAGGAAUUACUAAAAAUAUCAAUGUUGUAAAGAAC